UUUCGUUCCUGCAGUCAAAACCAAAGCAGCUAACAGGGGGUGACAGGGCUUUUCCAUGCGGCACGCCAUCGACAGGCAGUGCUGCCCGGUCUGCCCACAGCCUGCUCCCCGGGUGUUUGCAUUGCUUCAGCUAUUAUCCGCCCUCGCGAGGAAAUGCAGGGACUAAUAAAUAGCCCGUCAGCACCGAGCGCGAGACUUGAGCUUGGGAAGAGCACCUAGAAAGACAAGGAUUUCCACCCUGCAGCAGGAGAAGCGGCCCCUUCCCCUUCCCCUGCCUAAGCUAACUCUUCUGCUAUGUCAAAUAACAGGCAGGCGGAAACCCUGCCUACACUGGCAAGGGACAGAGGCUUCCCUGUUUGGAUUCGAGAUGGGGAUUUCUGUAGCUGAAAGUACCUUUGUUAUUUUUCCAGGAAAGCUUCCUUUUUGGCUGGCUUCACCUCUGCAUAGGAUGCACACGGCAAAUUGACUGCAGCGAUGAAGAAGGAAAAAUAUUUAAACAAGCAAUUAUGAAUGAGCUUUGGUUGCUAACUCGGAGACCAGUUUCCUACGUCUGUGUUAAAAUAGAGAUGAUCAAAACUGACUGAACAAACAAAUACGAAAGUAAUCGGAACUGAUACACAGAAGCAAGAGGAAGGAAAAUCUAUUUUUCAGGGCCCCUUGGCACAGCUGGUCCUGCACUCUGUUGGGCUUGCAGUACCGCAGGUGCUCUUCGGAGAUGAGCCACUUUCCCAGCGAGAAAGGCAAGAGCCUGCUUCCCAGAGUGCAAAGCAAAAGGUGGGUUUUGCCAAAGGAAGAUCUGGGAUUUGCUGAUAUUCGGAUCCAGGGCAGGAAUGAAGAGGACGCCUGAUGAAGAAAGUGCCAUUAAUUCGGGUGAAGGUGGUCCUUAUAGACCCAUCGCAUCCACGAUGGUCCAAAUCUUCUGCUUCAAUCCUCCCCCUCCCAGGUGGUUUUCCAAAGGCUGCUGCCAAAGCAGCCGGCUGAAGGGAGGACCAGCCAAACCUCAGCUCCGCAGAGAGCACCCAGAAAGUGGUGUGCACGGGACCAGGCACUCCUCAACCCUCGAGCCUGCCCCGGAGGACACCAAGGCCACCCUGGAGCAGCUUGCCAGGUCAUGCGUGAAUACUAAUUGAGAUGGGCUCCAGAGCAGCACCAGCACAGGAGGAUGGUGCCAUCUAAAGGAACCGAAGGCAAAGAAGAGCAGCAGCCACCACCAAGGGGGUGCGGAGGGACCAGCCGUAUCAUUUUAGCUUCAGUAAGGUGGCUCAGCAGCAGGGCUCCAGCUCAGCAGAUGCCUCCAGAGGAAGUUUCUGAUGGAUGCCUGAUGGUUUCAUGCCACCUUAGAGACAAUGGGGUCCCUCAUUUGCAUAGAAUUUUCUUAUUUCCUACAAAGCAGAUGUUCAAGGGUAUUUUCCUCCUAGUACCUUCUUGUUUCCGUCAUGUACAUAGCUGGUACCAGGGGAAUCAAGGGUAACGUUGGACUGUCUGGGAUCCUCGAUCCAUGCCAGGCAGGGCCAUCCACCCCAGAGUCAAGUUGUCCUGGUCCUAGAGGACAUAAUGCUGGUCUUUGGGAACAGAUUUUGGAAGUGCCUGUACGCGAUGGGUACAAGCUCGGUCCCACCCCGGUGGCCAUGCUGGAGCAUCAGGGAUGGUUACAGCAUAGGAACUGGGAACAGGGACCACCAUAGGAAAGCUUUUGAGCUAACCAGUCCAAGUCAACCCAUGGGCACAUGUGCUGACGCUCUGACCCAGCUUCAACUCCCCCUGAUGAAUUCCCUUUGUCAAGAGGGCUGCAGUCAUCCAAAAAAUCCUCUUGGCAUAUGCAGCUAACAAGCCCAAACCAACCCCAGCAUUCCUAUUUUAGCUUUUUUGAAUCACUGCACGCUAUGAAAGAAAAUCAGUCAUGAUUUACAGAGCUGCUGCAAGUACCCUGCAAGAUGGGACUGCCCGCCAAAUUCCAGGUAUGUGAGGAAGGCUGACACUUUUGUUCCUGCAAUUAAUUAAUUUUCACCGGGCUUUCACUUUUACAACCUCUUUUUCCACUUCCCAGGUUGCUCAACUCGAAAUCAAUAAGACCACCCCAUGAUAAAGACGUCAUGCUGAAUGUAUAUGUCAUUAAUCACUUGAGUUACCUUUCAACCCAGCGAGUUUCCUUUGUUGGAGCCUUCCCUCGAGGUACUGGAAAAACAAACAGACACAUUUAUAACAACCCCUUAGGGCUAAGUCAACAGUUGCAUUCACCUCCUUAAUCAACAUCUUAGGCUUAACCAAGAUCAUCUCUAAAACUCCUCAAAGAGCUACAAAGCAGUAACUGUACUUUCCCAGUACAGAUAAUUGGGAUUUUACAUGGCAUGAUGAUAGAUUUUAUUGAAAAAGUUAUCCUAACAUCGUUGCUCGCUGCUGGGAGUCCUAAAUUUGCUGCCCAAACUGAAGCGAGCACUCAGAUACGUGAUGGCAUCACGAAGGCACGCUUGGGCAUGUUUUCCAACCAUUAAUAUUUGGCUGCGGUGCAACGGAGGAUGAAAGACCUGGAGUCCUUCGCUUUCAACCACCCAAAGCACAUAUGACACGGACCCGUACAACAGGCCCCGCCAUGCCUUGGUCCUAUCUUUACACAUCUCUUGUAGAAGAACGAUGUGGAGGUCGGUGAGAGCUGGGGCAGCCAGGACCAUCAGGGCUGCGGCCGCCCUCGGGCACGGAGCUCCCUCCUGGCAGGAUGGCACACCUGGCACCUUCCUGGCCGCCAAGCGCAGCGGGCCCGCUGUGGGGUCCGUCUCAGCGGCAGUCCUUCACCCAGCCAGCUCCCCCCUCUCCUGGACCUCUCCACAACCUACUGGGAAGGAUAGAGCCUCCGCUGAAGUAUUCAAAAUAUUUUUGAAUGAAAGUGUCAGUUCAAGAUCCUCAGCAUAAAACAUACCUAACAAAGCCUAUUUGCAAAGUAAAUUUACUCUGGAUUUCCGAUACCUAGGAAAGUUUUUUCUAUUAUAUUUAUUUAAAAUUACAACAGUUUACAUUAGAAACAAGCUCAAACAAUUAAGGUAAAAGAUAAAUAACUGCAUACAGUUUAAUUUUACAAAAUGCAAACAUACAUCUUUCAUUGUUCCAUUAUCCGAGAAUUAAGUGCAAUAUAAUUGUCUGAUGUAUUGUCGCUGACUUAAAUGCUAUAAAAUUAAAUGGACCUGACUUUUAUGAAAUAAUCUUUAUUUUCCGUCAUCAUGCAAGCAGUGGCCUGUGGUGGCUCAGAGUUUUUUUUUGGGGGACACCUUCAAAUGAAAUGUUUGCUUUCUGCUGCACAGCAGGGUUCCUCUGGAUUUCAGAUGGCCCAGAGUACUGCCUAGCAAGACGCUGUCCCAGGAAGCAGGAGCUGGAGGUUGCCUUUGGAAAAGUGGGGCUUCAUCCAGGCUAUUAAGCUGGCAGGAAGAGCUGCGGGAUGGUCCGAAGGCUGUGGUGAGCAAGCAUGCAAUACUUUCCACGCUUUCCUUGCUCCCCACACUGAACGCCCCUGGGGGACACGCUCUUUAUCUGGGAUGCAAUUAUAAAAAUUGGCUUUGAAAUAAUCCUUUUAGAACGGGGGAAAAAAAGAAAUAACAGGAGGCUUAUGCGCUUAUGUCGUAAGGCUGGUGCUGUAAAUAUUAGAGAGACCCGGAAAAGCAGUGUUCUAUGAAGAGCGGAGUGCCUGGAGGGCUCAGAAGGAGUGGGUUUGGUCUUUGAGGAAUAUUCUGAGUCUGAAGGAAGAACAGAGAAAAUGAAAACCAAUGUUAUCUUACCGGGGCCCUGGUACAGAGACUGAAAAUGAUGACGUUGUUUGAUUUUGGAAAAAAAUGGGAAAGGAGGCAUGUGGCAAAAUAACAGCAAAUAAUGCACAGCCUGGAAAGGGCGGGUGGGAAGACCUGUGUGGUAAGGCGAGCGGGGGGGCAGCCGGAGCCCACCGUGCAGCACCAUCAGGGCUCACUGCACAGCACCAUCGGAGCUACACUCAGCACUGUUGGAGCCCACCGUGCAGCACCAUUGG